UUCAAGCAACGUCCAUUUUCUACAGCUUUGAUGCCUAUUGGUCAUUGUUUGUGUUCUGGAACCAGACAAACUGCAGGUCAUCGUUGUACUGCUGAUGUGGACAGGAGCCUCACACAUAUCAUAAAAUUUCAAAAGCUCAGAGUGGUCAGAGUAGUCAAAGUGGUCAGAGUGGAGGUUGUGUGUGACUGAAGGGCUAAAUGAGAAUGCUGGUCAUCUUUGGGAUCCUGGUGAUGUUCACAGGAGCUUCCAUGGGUUUGAGGUUCAUGAACCCUGUUUGUAGAUUUACUCAGAAUGAUCCAUGUUAUGGAGCUGUGGGAUGACCACUGUACCUGCAGUCUUGAUACAUGGUGAAUGGGAGGAUACUAUUAAAAGAGUUAUACU